rnacentral:ncRNA from 17 species
AUCGUUCAUCCUUCUAGUUUUGGAGGACGGAAGUAGGGAAAAAUCCCGAAGGAACGCGCU